GCGCAGCAGUCGAGAAUUUUUGACAAUGGGGGAAACCCUGAUCGAGCGACGCCGCGUGGAGGAUGAAGGUCUUCGGAUUGUAAACUCCUGUCAUUGGGGAACAAGGUGCAUACGUUAACUGCGUGUGUAUUGAUAGUACCCGAAGAGGAAGGGACGGCUAACUCUGUGCCAGCAGCCGCGGUAAUACAGAGGUCCCAAGCGUUGUUCGGAUUCAUUGGGCGUAAAGGGUGCGUAGGCGGCGCGGUAAGUCGGGUGUGAAAUCUCGGAGCUUAACUCCGAAACUGCAUUCGAUACUGCCGUGCUUGAGGACUGGAGAGGAGACUGGAAUUUACGGUGUAGCGGUGAAAUGCGUAGAUAUCGUAAGGAAGACCAGUGGCGAAGGCGGGUCUCUGGACAGUUCCUGACGCUGAGGCACGAAGGCCAGGGGAGCAAACGGGAUUAGAUACCCGUGUAGU
rnacentral:rRNA from 1 species